GGCAGUGUGGCUGAAUGGUUAGGGGCCUGGUGUGGGACUCAGGAGGGUUGGGUUCAAGUCCUGAUUCUGCUA
rnacentral:tRNA from 1 species